rnacentral:pre_miRNA from 1 species
ACAACAUUCGGACCGUCAUGCGUCGGUCUACUGAGCAAUUUCACUCCCUCGGUGGAAGAUUUUCCCUUUGUCGU